CGGCGCGAUCGCCCUUGAGUUUGAUCAUGGCUCAGGAUGAACGCUAGCGGCAGGCUUAACACAUGCAAGUCGAGGGGUAACAGAGGUAGCUUGCUACUUGCUGACGACCGGCGCACGGGUGCGUAACGCGUAUACAAUCUACCUUAUACAGAGGGAUAGCCUUUAGAAAUGAAGAUUAAUACCUUAUAGUCUAUUAAUAUAGCAUUAUAUAAAUAGUAAAGCUUCGGCGGUAUAAGAUGAGUAUGCGUCCUAUUAGUUAGUUGGUAAGGUAACGGCUUACCAAGACAACGAUAGGUAGGGGCCCUGAGAGGGGGAUCCCCCACACUGGCACUGAGACACGGACCAGACUCCUACGGGAGGCAGCAGUGAGGAAUAUUGGACAAUGGAGGUAACUCUGAUCCAGCCAUGCCGCGUGCAGGAAGACGGCCCUAUGGGUUGUAAACUGCUUUUAUAUAGGAAGAAACCUUUUCACGUGUGAGAAGCUGACGGUACUAUAAGAAUAAGGACCGGCUAACUCCGUGCCAGCAGCCGCGGUAAUACGGAGGGUCCGAGCGUUAUCCGGAAUCAUUGGGUUUAAAGGGUCCAUAGGCGGGAAUCUAAGUCAGUGGUGAAAUCUUACAGCUCAACUGUAAAAUUGCCAUUGAUACUGGGUUUCUUGAAUUAAUGUGAAGUGAUUAGAAUGUGUAGUGUAGCGGUGAAAUGCAUAGAUAUUACACAGAAUACCAAUUGCGAAGGCAGAUCACUAACAUUAUAUUGACGCUGA
rnacentral:rRNA from 1 species